UACGGAGGGGGCUAGCGUUGUUCGGAAUUACUGGGCGUAAAGCGCACGUAGGCGGCUUUGUAAGUUAGAGGUGAAAGCCCGGGGCUCAACUCCGGAAUUGCCUUUAAGACUGCAUCGCUAGAAUUGUGGAGAGGUAAGUGGAAUUCCUGGUGUAGCGGUGAAAUGCACAGAGAUCGGGAAGAACACCAGUGGCGAAGGCGCUCUACUGGGCCGUAACUGACACUGAGAGACGACAGCUAGGGGAGCGAAUGGG
rnacentral:rRNA from 1 species